UGAGUAACGCGUGAGCAACCUGCCUUUCAGUGGGGGACAACAGUUGGAAACGACUGCUAAUACCGCAUAAAGUAUUGAGAUCGCAUGAUUUUGAUACCAAAGAUUUAUUGCUGAAAGAUGGGCUCGCGUCUGAUUAGCUAGAUGGCGGGGUAACGGCCCACCAUGGCGACGAUCAGUAGCCGGUCUGAGAGGAUGAACGGCCACAUUGGGACUGAGAUACGGCCCAGACUCCUACGGGAGGCAGCAGUGGGGAAUAUUGGGCAAUGGGGGAAACCCUGACCCAGCAACGCCGCGUGAAGGAAGAAGGCCUUCGGGUUGUAAACUUCUUUUACCAGGGACGAAGGACGUGACGGUACCUGGAGAAAAAGCAACGGCUAACUACGUGCCAGCAGCCGCGGUAAUACGUAGGUUGCAAGCGUUGUCCGGAUUUACUGGGUGUAAAGGGCGUGUAGGCGGAGGAGCAAGUCAGAUGUGAAAUCCCGGGGCUUAACCCCGGAACUGCAUUUGAAACUGUUCCCCUUGAGUAUCGGAGAGGCAAGCGGAAUUCCUAGUGUAGCGGUGAAAUGCGUAGAUAUUAGGAGGAACACCAGUGGCGAAGGCGGCUUGCUGGACGACAACUGACGCUGAGGCGCGAAAGCGUGGGGAGCAAACAGGAUUAGAUACCCUGGUAGUCCACGCUGUAAACGAUGAAUAC
rnacentral:rRNA from 1 species